UACGGAGGAUCCGAGCGUUAUCCGGAUUUAUUGGGUUUAAAGGGUGCGCAGGCGGAAGAUUAAGUCGGUGGUGAAAUUUUGCAGCUCAACUGUAAAAGUGCCAUUGAUACUGGUUUCCUUGAGUGUAGAUGAAGUAGGCGGAAUUUGUGGUGUAGCGGUGAAAUGCUUAGAGAUCACACAGAAUAUCGAUUGCGAAGGCAGCUCACAAAGCCAAGAUUGACGCUGAGGCACGAAAGUGUGGGGAUCAAACAGGAUUA
rnacentral:rRNA from 1 species